rnacentral:tRNA from 1 species
GCUCAGUUGGUAGAGCAUAGGACUCUUAAUCCCAGGGUCAUGGGUUCGAGCCCCAU